rnacentral:rRNA from 2 species
UUGAACGCUGGCGGCAUGCCUAACACAUGCAAGUCGAACGGCAGCACAGCAGUAGCAAUACUGUGGGUGGCGAGUGGCGGACGGGUGAGUAAUGCAUCGGGACCUGCCCAGACGUGGGGGAUAACGUAGGGAAACUUACGCUAAUACCGCAUACGUCCUACGGGAGAAAGCGGGGGAUCAGCAAUGACCUCGCGCGGUUGGAUGGACCGAUGUUCGAUUAGCUUGUUGGUGGGGUAAUGGCCUACCAAGGCGACGAUCGAUAGCUG